UACGUAGGUGACAAGCGUUGUCCGGAUUUACUGGGCGUAAAGAGCGCGCAGGCGGUCGUUCAAGUCGAGUGUGAAAGCCCCCGGCUCAACUGGGGAGGGUCAUUCGAUACUGAUCGACUCGAAGGCAGGAGAGGGAAGUGGAAUUCCCGGUGUAGUGGUGAAAUGCGUAGAUAUCGGGAGGAACACCAGUGGCGAAGGCGACUUCCUGGCCUGUUCUUGACGCUGAGGCGCGAAAAGCUAGGGGGAGCAAACGGG
rnacentral:rRNA from 1 species